rnacentral:rRNA from 1 species
UGGGGAAUAUUGGACAAUGGGCGCAAGCCUGAUCCAGCCAUGCCGCGUGGGUGAAGAAGGCCUUCGGGUUGUAAAGCCCUUUCGUUGGGAAAGAAAUCCUGUCGGCUAAUACCCGGCGGGGAUGACGGUACCCAAAGAAUAAGCACCGGCUAACUUCGUGCCAGCAGCCGCGGUAAUACGAAGGGUGCAAGCGUUACUCGGAAUUACUGGGCGUAAAGCGUGCGUAGGUGGUUGUUUAAGUCUGAUGUGAAAGCCCUGGGCUCAACCUGGGAAUGGCAUUGGAAACUGGGCAGCUAGAGUGCGGUAGAGGGUAGUGGAAUUCCCGGUGUAGCAGUGAAAUGCGUAGAGAUCGGGAGGAACAUCUGUGGCGAAGGCGACUGCCUGGACCAGCACUGACACUGAGGCACGAAAGCGUGGGGAGCAAACA